rnacentral:rRNA from 1 species
AUUGAACGCUGGCGGCAGGCCUAACACAUGCAAGUCGAGCGGAUGAAGGGAGCUUGCUCCUGGAUUCAGCGGCGGACGGGUGAGUAAUGCCUAGGAAUCUGCCUGGUAGUGGGGGAUAACGUCCGGAAACGGGCGCUGAUACCGCAUACGUCCUGAGGGAGAAAGUGGGGGAUCUUCGGACCUCACGCUAUCAGAUGAGCCUAGGUCGGAUUAGCUAGUUGGUGGGGUAAGGGCCUACCAAGGCGACGAUCCGUAACUGGUCUGAGAGGAUGAUCAGUCACACUGGAACUGAGACACGGUCCAGACUCCUACGGGAGGCAGCAGUGGGGAAUAUUGGACAAUGGGCGAAAGCCUGAUCCAGCCAUGCCGCGUGUGUGAAGAAGGUCUUCGGAUUGUAAAGCACUUUAAGUUGGGAGGAAGGGCAGUAAGUUAAUACCUUGCUGUUUUGACGUUACCAACAGAAUAAGCACCGGCUAACUUCGUG